rnacentral:lncRNA from 1 species
CAUACUAAAAUGAUUACAAGUUUUCAUCCAAUGUAACAUGUACUCUAUAAAAUAUCCCACUUCAUUGUUCCUAUUCAUCCAACCAUAUUAUCAGCCUUUCAUUUUGUUUUCUGCUUGAUUCUUUUUGUUCCAAGUUGUUGACACUCUACAAAUUUAUUUUCCUUCUCUUUCUUCAUCAAAUCUUGCAUCCUUUUACAGUAUUGAACUUUUUGUC